GACUUUGGUGUUGCUGAGGUGCAA
rnacentral:siRNA from 1 species